GCACAGCACUCUGGAGAGAGCGGUCGCAUCCGCCGCCGAAGGGGCACGAGGCUCACGCCUCCAAACUCUCAGGCAAAAGGACAGAGGGGCGCCC
rnacentral:ncRNA from 2 species